UACGUAGGGCGCAAGCGUUAUCCGGAAUUAUUGGGCGUAAAGAGCUCGUAGGCGGUUUGUCGCGUCUGCCGUGAAAGUCCGGGGCUCAACUCCGGAUCUGCGGUGGGUACGGGCAGACUAGAGUGAUGUAGGGGAGACUGGAAUUCCUGGUGUAGCGGUGAAAUGCGCAGAUAUCAGGAGGAACACCGAUGGCGAAGGCAGGUCUCUGGGCAUUAACUGACGCUGAGGAGCGAAAGUGUGGGGAGCGAAACAGG
rnacentral:rRNA from 1 species